rnacentral:rRNA from 1 species
GACAGAGGCCUCAAGCGUUAGGCGGAAUCACUGGGCGUAAAGGGUGCGUAGGCGGGUCUUUAAGUCAGGGGUGAAAUCCUGGAGCUCAACUCCAGAACUGCCCUUGAUACUGAGGAUCUUGAGUUCGGGAGAGGUGAGUGGAACUGCGAGUGUAGAGGUGAAAUUCGUAGAUAUUCGCAAGAACACCAGUGGCGAAGGCGGCUCACUGGCCCGAUACUGACGCUGAGGCACGAAAGCGUGGGGAGCAAACAGG